rnacentral:rRNA from 1 species
UACGAAGGGGGCUAGCGUUGCUCGGAACCACUGGGCGUAAAGCGCACGUAGGCGGCUUUCUAAGUCAGGGGUGAAAUCCUGGAGCUCAACUCCAGAACUGCCUUUGAUACUGGAGAGCUAGAGUCCGGAAGAGGUGAGUGGAACUGCGAGUGUAGAGGUGAAAUUCGUAGAUAUUCGCAAGAACACCAGUGGCGAAGGCGGCUCACUGGUCCGGUACUGACGCUGAGGCGCGACGGCGUGGGGAGCAAACCGG